GUUACAGCCGGCGAUGUCCGAAUGGGGAAACCCAGUGCAAUUCGUUGCACUAUCGUUAACUGAAUACAUAGGUUAACGAGGCGAACCGGGGGAACUGAAACAUCUAAGUACCCCGAGGAAAAGAAAUCAACCGAGAUUCCCCCAGUAGCGGCGAGCGAACGGGGAGCAGCCCAGAGUCUGAAUCAGCUUGUGUGUUAGUGGAACGGUCUGGAAAGUCCGACGGUACAGGGUGAUAGUCCCGUACACCAAAAUGCACAGGUUGUGAACUCGAAGAGUAGGGCGGGACACGUGGUAUCCUGUCUGAAUAUGGGGGGACCAUCCUCCAAGGCUAAAUACUCCUGACUGACCGAUAGUGAACCAGUACCGUGAGGGAAAGGCGAAAAGAACCCCGGCGAGGGGAGUGAAAAAGAACCUGAAACCGUGUACGUACAAGCAGUGGGAGCACCUUCGGGUGUGACUGCGUACCUUUUGUAUAAUGGGUCAGCGACUUAUAUUCUGUAGCAAGGUUAACCGUAUAGGGGAGCCGCAGGGAAACCGAGUCUUAACUGGGCGUUAAGUUGCAGGGUAUAGACCCGAAACCCGGUGAUCUAGCCAUGGGCAGGUUGAAGGUUGGGUAACACUAACUGGAGGACCGAACCGACUAAUGUUGAAAAAUUAGCGGAUGACUUGUGGCUGGGGGUGAAAGGCCAAUCAAACCGGGAGAUAGCUGGUUCUCCCCGAAAGCUAUUUAGGUAGCGCCUCGUGAACUCAUCUUCGGGGGUAGAGCACUGUUUCGGCUAGGGGGUCAUCCCGACUUACCAACCCGAUGCAAACUACGAAUACCGAAGAAUGUUAUCACGGGAGACACACGGCGGGUGCUAACGUCCGUCGUGAAGAGGGAAACAACCCAGACCGCCAGCUAAGGUCCCAAAGUCAUGGUUAAGUGGGAAACGAUGUGGGAAGGCACAGACAGCCAGGAUGUUGGCUUAGAAGCAGCCAUCAUUUAAAGAAAGCGUAAUAGCUCACUGGUCGAGUCGGCCUGCGCGGAAGAUGUAACGGGGCUAAACCAUGCACCGAAGCUGCGGCAGCGACACUAUGUGUUGUUGGGUAGGGGAGCGUUCUGUAAGCCUGCGAAGGUGUGCUGUGAGGCAUGCUGGAGGUAUCAGAAGUGCGAAUGCUGACAUAAGUAACGAUAAAGCGGGUGAAAAGCCCGCUCGCCGGAAGACCAAGGGUUCCUGUCCAACGUUAAUCGGGGCAGGGUGAGUCGACCCCUAAGGCGAGGCCGAAAGGCGUAGUCGAUGGGAAACAGGUUAAUAUUCCUGUACUUGGUGUUACUGCGAAGGGGGGACGGAGAAGGCUAUGUUAGCCGGGCGACGGUUGUCCCGGUUUAAGCAUGUAGGCUGGUUAUCCAGGCAAAUCCGGAUAAUCAAGGCUGAGGUGUGAUGACGAGGCACUACGGUGCUGAAGUAACAAAUGCCCUGCUUCCAGGAAAAGCCUCUAAGCAUCAGGUAACAUCAAAUCGUACCCCAAACCGACACAGGUGGUCAGGUAGAGAAUACCAAGGCGCUUGAGAGAACUCGGGUGAAGGAACUAGGCAAAAUGGUGCCGUAACUUCGGGAGAAGGCACGCUGGUGUGUAGGUGAAGUCCCUGCGGAUGGAGCUGAGACCAGUCGAAGAUACCAGCUGGCUGCAACUGUUUAUUAAAAACACAGCACUGUGCAAACACGAAAGUGGACGUAUACGGUGUGACGCCUGCCCGGUGCCGGAAGGUUAAUUGAUGGGGUUAUCCGUAAGGAGAAGCUCUUGAUCGAAGCCCCGGUAAACGGCGGCCGUAACUAUAACGGUCCUAAGGUAGCGAAAUUCCUUGUCGGGUAAGUUCCGACCUGCACGAAUGGCGUAAUGAUGGCCAGGCUGUCUCCACCCGAGACUCAGUGAAAUUGAACUCGCUGUGAAGAUGCAGUGUACCCGCGGCAAGACGGAAAGACCCCGUGAACCUUUACUAUAGCUUGACACUGAACAUUGAGCCUUGAUGUGUAGGAUAGGUGGGAGGCUUUGAAGCGUGGACGCCAGUCUGCGUGGAGCCAACCUUGAAAUACCACCCUUUAAUGUUUGAUGUUCUAACGUUGGCCCCUGACCGGGGUUGCGGACAGUGUCUGGUGGGUAGUUUGACUGGGGCGGUCUCCUCCCAAAGCGUAACGGAGGAGCACGAAGGUUAGCUAAUCCUGGUCGGACAUCAGGAGGUUAGUGCAAUGGCAUAAGCUAGCUUGACUGCGAGCGUGACGGCGCGAGCAGGUGCGAAAGCAGGUCAUAGUGAUCCGGUGGUUCUGAAUGGAAGGGCCAUCGCUCAACGGAUAAAAGGUACUCCGGGGAUAACAGGCUGAUACCGCCCAAGAGUUCAUAUCGACGGCGGUGUUUGGCACCUCGAUGUCGGCUCAUCACAUCCUGGGGCUGAAGUAGGUCCCAAGGGUAUGGCUGUUCGCCAUUUAAAGUGGUACGCGAGCUGGGUUUAGAACGUCGUGAGACAGUUCGGUCCCUAUCUGCCGUGGGCGCUGGAGAAUUGAGGGGGGCUGCUCCUAGUACGAGAGGACCGGAGUGGACGCAUCACUGGUGUUCGGGUUGUCAUGCCAAUGGCACUGCCCGGUAGCUAAAUGCGGAAGAGAUAAGUGCUGAAAGCAUCUAAGCACGAAACUUGCCCCGAGAUGAGUUCUCCCUGAGACUUUAAGUCUCCUGAAGGAACGUUGAAGACGACGACGUUGAUAGGCCGGGUGUGUAAGCGCAGCGAUGCGUUGAGCUAACCGGUACUAAUGAACCGUGAGGCUUAACCUU
rnacentral:rRNA from 1 species